AUACGUAGGGUGCGAGCGUUAAUCGGAAUUACUGGGCGUAAAGCGUGCGCAGGCGGUUCUGUAAGACAGGCGUGAAAUCCCCGGGCUCAACCUGGGAACUGCGCUUGUGACUGCGAGACUAGAGUACGGCAGAGGGGGGUGGAAUUCCACGUGUAGCAGUGAAAUGCGUAGAGAUGUGGAGGAACACCAAUGGCGAAGGCAGCCCCCUGGGUCGAUACUGACGCUCAUGCACGAAAGCGUGGGGAGC
rnacentral:rRNA from 1 species